ACCCCUGUGACGCAAUUGGCAGACGUGGCCCGCUUAAACCGGGUUUGUUGCAGGUUUGAUUCCUGUCAGGGGUA
rnacentral:tRNA from 4 species